rnacentral:rRNA from 2 species
GCUGACGAGUGGCGAACGGGUGAGUAAUGCAUCGGAACGUGCCCAGUAGUGGGGGAUAGCCCGGCGAAAGCCGGAUUAAUACCGCAUACGACCUAAGGGUGAAAGCGGGGGACCGAAAGGCCUCGCGCUAUUGGAGCGGCCGAUGUCAGAUUAGGUAGUUGGUGGGGUAAAGGCCUACCAAGCCUACGAUCUGUAGCUGGUCUGAGAGGACGACCAGCCACACUGGGACUGAGACACGGCCCAGACUCCUACGGGAGGCAGCAGUGGGGAAUUUUGGACAAUGGGCGCAAGCCUGAUCCAGCCAUGCCGCGUGCGGGAAGAAGGCCUUCGGGUUGUAAACCGCUUUUGUCAGGGAAGAAAUCUUCUGGGUUAAUACCUCGGGAGGAUGACGGUACCUGAAGAAUAAGCACCGGCUAACUACGUGCCAGCAGCCGCGGUAAUACGUAGGGUGCAAGCGUUAAUCGGAAUUACUGGGCGUAAAGCGUGCGCAGGCGGUUAUGUAAGACAGAUGUGAAAUCCCCGGGCUUAACCUGGGAACUGCAUUUGUGACUGCAUAGCUUGAGUGCGGCAGAGGGGGAUGGAAUUCCGCGUGUAGCAGUGAAAUGCGUAGAUAUGCGGAGGAACACCGAUGGCGAAAGCAAUCCCCUGGGCCUGCACU